GUCUGCCCCCGGGCAGGCCUAACCUCCCACCCGUGAAUACCUGACCAACGUUGCUUCGGCGGUGCGCCCCCCCCGGGGGUAGCCGCCGGAGACCACACCGAACCUCCUGUCUUUAGUGUUGUCUGAGCUUGAUAGCAAACCUAUUAAAACUUUCAACAAUGGAUCUCUUGGUUCCGGCAUCGAUGAAGAACGCAGCGAACUGCGAUAAGUAAUGUGAAUUGCAGAAUUCAGUGAAUCAUCGAGUCUUUGAACGCACAUUGCGCCCCCUGGCAUUCCGGGGGGCAUGCCUGUCCGAGCGUCAUUGCUGCCCUUCAAGCCCGGCUUGUGUGUUGGGUCGUCGUCCCCCCCGGGGGACGGGCCCGAAAGGCAGCGGCGGCACCGCGUCCGGUCCUCGAGCGUAUGGGGCUUUGUCACCCGCUCGAUUAGGGCCGGCCGGGCGCCAGCCGGCGUCUCCAACCUUCUAUUUUACCAGGUUGACCUCGGAUCAGGUAGGGAUACCCGCUGAACUUAAGCAUAUCAAUAAGCGGAGGAA
rnacentral:rRNA from 1 species